CCAGACACUGACCCAAGCUGACGCUCUGAACAAAGUGCCUUUCAAAAGUAUUCACCCCCCCCCCCCCUUAAAACCUUUUGUAUUUUUGUUAAACUGCAAGCAUAAACUUUGAUGAGAUUUAUUGGGAUUUCAUGUGAAACACCAACACCAAGUAUUAAAGCGUGUGUGGUAGGCAUUUUUAUUCCUGCCUGUUUGCUCUGAUACAAAUAAAUUUGAUUUAAUCACCUAAGAGGCUUGUAUAAAAUGCAUCGUGAAGACCUAGGAACACUGUUCGGUUUGGUAAAAUUGUGAACAUACCAAGAAAUGGUCGUCCACCUAAACUGACAGGCCAGGAAAAAAAAAAGAACAUUUGUUUCAGAGAACCAGCCCAGAGGGGCAUGGUAACUCUGGAGGAGCUGGAUAGAUCCAGAGCUCAGGAGGGAGAAUCUGUCAACAAGAAAACUAUAUUUCAUGUAAUCCACAAACCUUGCUUUUAUGGUAGAGUGGCAAGAAAAAAUGUAUUGUUUCAGGAAAACCAUGAGAAGUCCAGUUAAUAGUUUGCUUCUGAUUAUUUCAUACCAAAAGGAAACUAAAUGGCCUUCAUGCAAAACUUUACGUGAGAUGAAGAGCAUCUGGCUUCACCCUUAAUGAAACGGUCCCAGCAUUAAAAAAACAACAAUGGCAGCAUCGUACUGUAGGAAUUUUUUUCUUUUUCAUCUGGGCCAAAGAAGCUGCUCAGAGUUGAUAUGUGUAUAUGGAUGGCUCUAAAUACAGUCCAGGAAGAAACCGUGUUGGAAGCAGCAGAAGACUUGAGACUGUGGCCGAGCAUCACUUUCCAGAGCUGCAAUCAAAUAGUUUGAGUCCGGACAUAAAUCCAGCUUGAGACAGGGCUUAAAACCGUAUCCUCCCAGAUGUUUUCCAUCCAAUCUGGCUGAAUUUCAACUGCUACUUUGUGUUAUUGUAUCACUUCAAGUCCCAAUAAA